rnacentral:lncRNA from 9 species
GUCCUUGGGGGUUGUAAGGGAGACCAGUAGAGUGAGCAAUAUGCCAUGUAUCUAGGAAUGUUUUAAGUUGAGAACUUAUAUAAGCUGGACCAUUAUCAGUUUUAAUUGCUUGUGGCAGGCCCAUGACUGCAAAACAGGCAUACAAAUGACGAAUAACAUGUUUAGCAGAUUCACCAGACUGCGCAGUAGCCCAAAUAAAUUUAGAGUAAGUAUCAAUACAUACAUGAAUAAAUGACAAUUUUCCGAAAGAUGAAUAAUGAGUAACAUCCAUUUGCCAGAGAGCAUUUGGGACAAGUCCCCUAGGGUUAACUCCAGGCUCAGAUUGAGAAGGAUUGUUACCUUGAGGAAGGACCUUCCAUUGAUAACGCUUUCUAGGGGCUAUAUUGUUUACCACUGGGACUGAAAAAGCAAAUUUUUCCUUAUCUUCUGGGUGUAAAGGAAUUGUGAAAAAGCAGUCUUUUAGGUCCAAGAUAAUUAACAACCAGUUAGCUGGUAUCAUACUAGGAGAUGGGAGGCCUGGUUGAAGGGCACCCAUAGGCUGAAUUACAGCAUUUACUCCUCUUAAGUCUGUUAACAAUCUCCAUUUUCCUGAUUUUUUCUGUAUAACAAACACUGGUGAAUUCCAGGGACUAAAGGAUUCUUCUAUAUGGCCCUUCUCUAAUUGUUCUUGGACCAGAUCACUUAAAACCUUUAAUUUUUCUGAAGAAAGAGGCCACUGCUCAACCCAAACUGGUUUUUCUGUAGUCCAUUUCAGUCGAAUAGGUUCAGGAGAAACAUAAUUAUUUUUACAAGCAGUGGCCGCUAAUGAAAAGGCCGAUAUCCCAAACCAGAUUUGUCCAUUUUAAUCUCAGAUUCAAUAGGUUCCACUCUCCCCUGAUGAUGUCUUCCUAAUCCCAAUCCGGGAAUGUAACCCUGUUUCUGCAACAUUUUUUGGCUUUGAUGACUAUAUUGAUCUACUGGCGGUAAGUAAAUUUCUGCAUGCCACUGUUGUAAUAAAUCUCUCCCCCAUAGAUUGAUAGGGAGUUGAGCAACAUAAGGUUUCAAUCUAGCUGGCUGCCCAUCUGGUCCUUCACAAUUAAGCCAUUGGGCACUCUUUUUGAGACCCUCUGCUUUUCCUAACCCAGUGACUUCAAUAUCAGCUGGCUGAAGAGGCCAGGUGUCUGGCCAAUGUAAAUGGCUAAUGAUUGAAACAUCAGCACCAGUAUCAAUCAAUCCUCUAAAAGACUUCCCAUUUAUGAUAACUUGACAAGUGGGUCGUUCCUCUAGGACCUUUUCUGAUAAAAACACUCCUGCCCCUCCUGUUGUAUUGAAUCUCUUCUGUCUAAAAUUAUUCCUGUCUUUUUUUUUUCUGGACUCUAGGUAAAGUUAAGAUUUGAGCAAUCCAAUCCCCUUUUUUAAUUUUCCAAGGAAUCGCAGUGGAAACCAUCACUUGUACUUUAUCAUCCCCGAUAUUAUCCAAUAUCCUGGUAUGAACUCGAAUUCCUUGUUCUGUUAGCUCUGCCCUUCCUAUUAUCAAUCCUAUUGUAUCUGAUGGUAA